CCUACGGGAGGCAGCAGUGAGGAAUAUUGGUCAAUGGCCGUAAGGCUGAACCAGCCAAGUCGCGUGAAGGAAGAAGGAUCUAUGGUUUGUAAACUUCUUUUAUAGGGGAAUAAAGGUAUCCACGUGUGGAUCUUUGCAUGUACCCUAUGAAUAAGCAUCGGCUAACUCCGUGCCAGUAGCCGCGGUAAUACGGAGGAUGCGAGCGUUAUCCGGAUUUAUUGGGUUUAAAGGGUGCGUAGGUUGUUUUUUAAGUCAGCGGUGAAAGUUUGUGGCUCAACCAUAAAAUUGCCGUUGAAACUGGAAGACUUGAGUGUGUUUGAGGUAGGCGGAAUGCGUGGUGUAGCGGUGAAAUGCAUAGAUAUCACGCAGAACUCCGAUUGCGAAGGCAGCUUACUAAGCCAUAACUGACACUGAAGCACGAAAGCGUGGGGAUCAAACAGGAUUAGAUACCCCUGUAGUC
rnacentral:rRNA from 1 species